GUAGAGCACUGUUUCGGCUAGGGGGUCAUCCCGACUUACCAACCCGAUGCAAACUACGAAUACCGAAGAAUGUUAUCACGGGAGACACACGGCGGGUGCUAACGUCCGUCGUGAAGAGGGAAACAACCCAGACCGCCAGCUAAGGUCCCAAAGUCAUGGUUAAGUGGGAAACGAUGUGGGAAGGCACAGACAGCCAGGAUGUUGGCUUAGAAGCAGCCAUCAUUUAAAGAAAGCGUAAUAGCUCACUGGUCGAGUCGGCCUGCGCGGAAGAUGUAACGGGGCUAAACCAUGCACCGAAGCUGCGGCAGCGACACUAUGUGUUGUUGGGUAGGGGAGCGUUCUGUAAGCCUGCGAAGGUGUGCUGUGAGGCAUGCUGGAGGUAUCAGAAGUGCGAAUGCUGACAUAAGUAACGAUAAAGCGGGUGAAAAGCCCGCUCGCCGGAAGACCAAGGGUUCCUGUCCAACGUUAAUCGGGGCAGGGUGAGUCGACCCCUAAGGCGAGGCCGAAAGGCGUAGUCGAUGGGAAACAGGUUAAUAUUCCUGUACUUGGUGUUACUGCGAAGGGGGGACGGAGAAGGCUAUGUUAGCCGGGCGACGGUUGUCCCGGUUUAAGCAUGUAGGCUGGUUAUCCAGGCAAAUCCGGAUA
rnacentral:rRNA from 1 species